CUCCGCCCCACCCCCAAGGCCGGCAGUGGUGCCCCUUCCCCUCCCUCUCCCUGUGCUCAGCCCUGCCCAGCCUCAGCAGGUGCUCAGCGCAGAACCUGGGCGGCCUGGCUGCCCUGGGCACCUGCGCAUGGCAGCUCCAGGACCGAGGGAGGGGGGCGCCAUGGGCUGAGCCCCUCUUUGUCCCUGGCUGUGGGAGCAGGCGCCAGGCUCAGGGCAGGCCGCAGGGCUGUGGGCAGUGAGCCAACUGGGACCGCAGCGGGGACCGCAGCGGGGAACGCAGCCCCCACCGCCCUGGCACGUGCUGGUCCCUCCGUGUGGCCCGCCCUUCCUGGACGUGGCAGGUGGCAGUGGCAGUCACUCAGCCACGCCUGGCCGUGCUCGGCCCACCCACGUGCCAGAUGCUGGGGACACGCAGGGACGGCGACGGGUGCUCCCGGUGCGGCGGUGAUGUCAUCAGCCACACCCCGAUUUCAGAGAUGUCAAAGUGCGCUCACACAACUCCCAGUGGCUGGAGGGGGCAUGGCUGGAGCCACCGAGCGGGCUCUGGCCCAGCGUCCCUGACAGCAGAAGGGACUCUGCGGAUGCGGCCCCUCCGUCGCGAGCCGGUCGGCCGAGUGCGGGUCCAGCGACAGAGGACGAGGCGACUGACCUCACCAGAAAGGCCACAGCAGGGAGCUGGAUCGGAAGCGGAGCAGCCUGCUCACCCGCCAAGCAACACCCCAUGGGACCGUGGCACCGGAGGCACCAGCUUUCCCUGCCACACCACGAUCCUGGCCCCGGGAACAUCUUUUAUGAAAAGAAUGCAGAGUGGGAUGGGAAGCCUGAGCCGGCUGCCCCUUUCCUGGAACUGGUUCUCCCCUUGUCCUCGUCCUUGUCCAAGACGCCACACGUCAGCCACCCUGAUUUCCACACGAGCCCCUGGCCGCCGUCCCCAGCUUUGACAAGAAUUCCCGACCACGCACCACAGCACCUGUAGCAGGCUGGAACAAGCUCCUCCUGCUGCCCGCCAGGCCUUUUCUCUCUGCUCCCGGGUCCCGGUCAAGCAGCCGCCUGCCCUGUGAGUGGCAGGGCCCCUAGGCCUUGUGCUGAGCUGUCGUGGUUCCAGCUUUGCCACAGCAGGGUUCCAGCAGGUCGCAACUCACCCUUGACCCGUGGUGCCCCCAACAGCGGCUGGCACAGAGCGGACCUCCGUCAGCGCUCCCUGGACCGUGUGCAGCCGCCGAGCACGGCUGAGCAGGCCAGAUGGAAUAUCACGCAGCCAUUAACCGCAAUUACGGAGAUGAUGUUUUCAUAUCUCAGCUCCACUUGUCGGAGCUAUAGCCGUAGCACCCACCACAAGGCCCCGAGAGCCCGCUCUCUGCCAGCCCCCUGCUGGGCACGGGCACGGCGGGGCUGGGAAGCCACCUCGCUUCCAGGGCUUCGGCUGGACAAGGAGCGAGCCGCACACAGGUGCCGAGACGGAGCGACAACGGAGCCCCGGGCCCCGCGUCCAUCUGGGAGGGGGGAGGGAAACAUGGCCGAGCCUGGAAGGGGACAGGGAACAGAGGCUGCGGACCUGACGCCCAGGGCGGUGGCAUGGUGGCGAUGUGUUCUUCCCUCUAUUGUUGGCAUAAUGCUGUUUGGGCAAUAAAUAAAAACUGGAGGAAAAAAUAGCCGUUUGGAGAAUU